AAACCCAGUUUUAAGUCUGAUAUGGGCUGUGUUAAUCUCUGGUGUGCUACCUUGGACUUCAGAAUAAUUACAUGCAAUGGAAUAUUGCCCACUGAGCCUUUGCUGACUCUCACAUUGCCACGAAGGAUAAAGGAUCUGAGUUUUCUUUUGUGUGAGAGUACCUGAACACCCAACAUCUCCAAGAGUGCAGUAAUGCUCCUGAGGGCACUUGAGUACUGCUGGCAUUGGACAUCACUGGUGGAGGAAACAGCAUGGCAAUCUUCUGCUAACAGCUUAGCUGAAUCCCAGGAAACUGAUUGAGAGGGUUUUAUAUUUAUUUGUUCUCUUUCACCAGGAAGAACUGACUGAGCCCAGCACAAGUGAUCUGUAAAGCCAGAAGAAGCCUUCUCCACUUGGAUGAUCACAUGUUCAUGUACCCCCACACUCACAAAAUGGAAAACUGGUGAAAAUGGAGAAGAGGAUCAUGAUAGUCUGAGUAGACAAUUCAGAUAUUUCAUAGCAGUCCCCUGGAUAAAGGCUGUAAAGUGGAGCCAUGCCAAGUCAAGAGACCUAAAGUUUUUUACAAGAACUCUUAUAUCAACACUCAUGUCCCUUAGUUUUAACCUGCUGGAGUUAUGUAUAAUUAAUGUAGAGGUUGAGAAAGUCAUCUGACAUCAGCAUAAAGAAAAUGUUAAGCUUUCUCAGUUCCUAGCGCAUGAUUUUUAAGACAUUUUAAUCCCCUCCCUUUUAAGUGUGGAUUUACUGGGGAGGUCAAGGGGUCAUUAACACUUCCCCUGCUCCUCUACCUUUAACAGGCAAACUCAUCAAGGACUGGUGUUAGAUAGUAUUAUUUCAUUAAUGUACAUACCUGUACUUGGGUUUUUUCCUUCAGCCAAGUCCUCGUCAUCCUAUUUCUUUAACAGUAUUUGAAGUUUAGAAAUUAUCUUUCAUUUAAAUAUUGUCAGCUCAAAACAGACCUUACUGUUUUUAGAUGUUGCAGAUGUUCUGGGAGGAAGAAAGGAGGUUUGCCCAAAAUUGUUUUGCUUGCUAUAGCAAGGACCAGAGCCACAAUGGAGAAGAUGUUCCACCCUGUUGCACCAAUGACUGUACAUCGCUCUUUGGGUAGUAGAGAGGGGCAAGAUCUUCACUAGGAAGCCUCUUGCUGGAGAUGGACAAAAUAGAUGAAAUUAAAAUGGGAUAACUGGCACUCUAUCAAAUGUGGUAAAGCAAGGAUAAUUCCUCUGCCUGCUGUAGAGGCAGGCUGAUACCUGCCUACAUAUCUCUUUUUGAAAGUCACUCAAGGAUACACUGUUUUAUACAGCCAAAUACUCCUCGAUAUGUAAAUUUAUUUAGUCAGUGUCAUUUUAUGGUUAUGUACACAAAGGCAAAAGAACAUGACAUCACUAAGUGCACCCUCAGACACCAAGUAGAAUAGUAUGGCUGACACACCUGAAGGAAGGGGUGCUAUCCAGAGGAACCUGGACAAGUGCAGAAAGUGGUUGCAUGGGAAUCUCAUUAGAUUUAAGAAGACCAAGUGCAUGGUACUGCACCUGGAUCAGGGCAACCUGUACUCUCAAUACAGACUGGGGAUGAACAGAUCAAGAGCCGGCCAAGAAGGGCUUGGGGGUGCUGGUUGAUUAGAUGCUGGACAAGGAAAGUGUGCACUUCCAGCCCAGAAAACCAAUCAUACCCUGGGCUGCAUCCAAAGCAGGGAGGGGAUUUUGCCUCUCUGCUCUGCUCUCAUGAGACCCCAUCUGCAGUUCUGCACCCAGCUUUGGGGCCCUUAGGACAGGACACAUCAACUUGUUGGAGUGAGUCCAGAAGAGGGCCACUAAGAAGAUUAGAGGAAAGGAGUACCUCUCCUGUGAGGAAAGAGGAAAAGAAUUUGGACUAUUCAGCCUGGAGAAGAGAAGACUGCAGGAAGACCUAUCUGUGGCCUUCCAGUACCUGAAGGGAGACCACAAGACUGGUGGAAUGGGAUUGUUUACAAGAGCAUGACAGGACAAGGGAGAAUGGCUUUAAACUGACAGAGAGUAGGUUUAGAUCAAAAGAAGUUGUGUAAGGGUGGUGAGGCACCAAAGGUGAGGUGUCUUAGGUUGCAAAUGCAAGAUGUGGCUGGGGGUGUGUAUUCUAUUGCCACCUGUUGCAACCAGGUGGGGCAGUUUUCUUUAUCUCUUCCACAACCCACACACUCUAGGAGAUAUCUUCUGUUAUUGGGCCAUUGAGUGUCACUGCAUGACUGAUAAAAUGACAUCAUCCCAUUGUGAGAUGCUCUGCCCAGCAGAGGAGCCAAGCAUUCCUACCUAGAUAUAAUCUGAGAUUUGAAAGUCAACCUUUUCCCACUGGAUUCCCAGAGAAGCAGCCUUUUUGCCAGUGGAUUCCCAGAAGAAGACCAGGCCCAUCUACACCACCACUAGACCUUCAGAAGAAAACUACACUCUUCUACAAUUUCAUUGUUUCAACAGAACCACAUCUGUCACUCCAGGAGGACGGCAGCCACCAUUCAGUCAGACUGCUACCCACACCCUAACCAACAGGGUGUCAGGCUGUAUUCUGACUCUGUCAUUGUUGUUUCUUAUUUCUGCAUUUUUAUUUUUACUUUUAAGUUUCCUGAUAAAGAACUGCUAUUCUUACUCCCA